CGAUUCUCUCACACCUAGCUUGAGGGGGAGUGAUGAAAGGGGGUUAUCUUUCUUCUCUGUCCUGCACCUUAUAUUUCCCUUUAGUUUGUUUUCUUCUGUUAUUUUGUUUUUUCUUUGACUAGUUGAGACAGCCAGCUGUCCUUUUUCCAUGUAUUAGGGUAAUCCAUCUAGGGAUUGGUGUGCUGAUGUAUAUAAAGAGAAUAAUUGUAAUGUACGCAUUCAUGAAUUCAGAAUGAGAAUGAAAUGGAAAAAGACUGAAAUUUUCCCUGCUCUAUUUCUCUGCUGUUCUCAACAUCCUUCAUAUUAAAUCUAUUUUUCUCUUCACCUCUAGAAUCCCUAGAUCUCUAUAUCACCUCUAUAAUUUAUCAAAAUUUUUAAUCAACGUUUUCUCAAUCAAAAGAUUAGUUGUUCAUCAAUUUCAUUACUAUUUUGUCUAUUUUACAAGCAAUUGUUUGGAUUUCCUUCUUCAUCACCGUGGAAUUAUCACUGUGCCUUCAUAUUCGCUGUCAUCUGCUCAUCGUGUGUGAUUUGGCAUCGUCGGCUUGCGGUGCCGUCAUAUUUAUUGUCAAGUGUUCAUCAUGCUAUCAUACCCAUGUUUUUCCUUUCAUCCUCAUAAAUGGUGUAAUGGAUCCAUACAAAAAGAGCAUAUGUGCAGUUGAUGGAAGUAAUCAAUCGAAGCAGAUUAAUGCUAAUAGAUUGAAUGGUUAUGGUGGAGGUUGUAAUUAGUGUAAAAUAGUGUAGUUGAUUUGAAUUAUGUCAAAUAUUUUUCAUGUUUUAUUUCACCGUGGACUUAUGAAAUAUGAACGGAUAUCAUGUAUUUUAAUUUCUUUGUACUCUAAUAUUUUCAAAUUUAAUUAUAAAUUUGUAAUUGGGCAAUUUGUUGGUAAUCCAGAUUCCAUUUUUCUUUGUUGAGAUUUUA